UACGUAGGGUGCGAGCGUUGUCCGGAAUUAUUGGGCGUAAAGAGCUUGUAGGCGGUCUGUCGCGUCUGCUGUGAAAAUCUGGGGCUCAACCCCGGACUUGCAGUGGGUACGGGCAGACUAGAGUGUGGUAGGGGAGACUGGAAUUCCUGGUGUAGCGGUGAAAUGCGUAGAUAUCGGGAGGAACACCUGAGGCGAAGGCGGGCUACUGGGCCGAUACUGACGCUGAUGCGCGAAAGCCAGGGGAGCGAACGGG
rnacentral:rRNA from 1 species